rnacentral:rRNA from 1 species
GCCAGAGUCAUAUCUCCCUGCAUUUCUUGCCUGGAUUCCCACUGAAGCAAAGCAGGGUUGAGCCUGGCCAGUACCUGGAUGGGAGACCUCUUGGGGAUAAGUAAGGUUGCUGCUGGAA